rnacentral:lncRNA from 1 species
CUCCUUCCUCCAGCAGAGGGUGGAAUCUCCCGACGUUGUGGGAGCCGGCGGUCGGAGAGGGGCUCGCCUCUUGUUGUUCCCCUCAACAUUCUGCAGAAUGGGUAGUCAAACCUGCCCUGACACCUGGACGUCUGCAUGAGGGGUGGUCACUGAAGGAGGAGUUGUCAGAGGCCAUAGGAGCUAAAGAGUCUGUGCAGAUGAGCUCUGGAGUCCCAGGAACUUGGCUUCUAAAAUGA